rnacentral:lncRNA from 1 species
ACUCUGUCACUAAGCCACCUCAUACCAUUUAGGUUUUAUAACAUUGGUCAGAAGUGCUUAGUCAAAUAUUUUGAGAGCAUUUUUUCAAGUCUGCUCAGCCAAGAGAAUUCUUAAAUGAGGAUUGGUAGAGGGGCUGAAGCAGGUGUGGAGGGGCCAUAGCUGUCAUGAGAGAGAAGCUGCCUGGUCAGAGACUAGAAAUGUCCCCCUUUCUGGUGGCAGCAUCCUGAGUCAGGUGAGAAGGAUGCUUAACCCAAGAUGACAGGACUCAUGCAACUGAGGGCUACCUGGAGAGCUACUCAGCACUUUAACGUGUCUUAUGGGGGAAAAUUCAUCUCCCUGUGUAUUAAAAGUGAUCAAACGGGAAAAAGUAAGUGAGUAAUGAUGUUUGAAGCUGUGAAGUAGAAUGUUCUGAACUAUGGGAAGAAAGCUCAUAUAACCUUUAAGCCAGUCUCCUCUCUACUGCUUGGCAAAGUGUUAAAGACAUUUUUUUUUUUUUUUUCUUUUCCAAGGACUUUUACAAGUGGAUUGAUGUUUGACUAAAUCAGACUCUGGACUGUGCUGCCAAUUUUCACUGCCUACUCACUGUGGGGGCUGUGGAGUAAUUCUAACAAAAAAGACUGUCUACUAAAAAUGGAAGAAGCAGAGGUAUUGAGAAACAAGAUUCGAAUCCAAAGCCAGCACUCUGAACUGCGCUGUAAGACUGCAAGGACAAAGAAAACGGCCACUAUAUGCCAGAAUCACUGGGUUUCCAAGAGUUAUUACUGUCUUCCCCUUCCAUAGCAGGGUUCUGCUUUCAUCAUCCAUGCUGGGGUUUGAUCUGACGUUGACCUAUAAAUAUAGUAACCUCACUCUAUUCUACCUUAUUGUGUGUACCACCAGGCACAUGGUAUGGAUGAAAGACAUCUCUUAAAUGUAUGGAUCAAUGCAUGAGGGAGUAGUCUGUCUUUGACACUGAGAUAACCUUUGGCGUUGUUCCUACAGUCGGUGUGAGGUAGUGUGGGGGUUAGUGACACACACUGGACAUACAAACGUUAGGGGAAGACUUGCCUCCAGCACAGGGGGACUUGCUCAUCUAUGCUGCCUUACAAUGAUCUCACACUCUUCUAACUCUAGGCUCUGCUUAUGACAGAAGAAUACAUGAAAGUAAUUUAGCAUCUUGUGUUUUCACUCUACUGUCACUGUGGAAGAAGAUAAUGACUGCAAUUUCAGAUUCUUAGAACUAGUUACAGAGAAAAUGUUUCUUCCUCUAAAUGAUGCUGCUCCUACCAUGUACUGUGGGGGGUGGGGGGGGGAGUAUAACUGAGAAUGUCUUCUGUGAAGGAAAAUUUUGCAACAUAUAACAAAAUUGCAAGUGCACAGAUCUUUUGAUCUAGAAAUUCUACUUCAAAUAAUUUAUUUUACAGAGAAAUUUACAUGUGUGAAAUGGUAAUAUUUUUGAGAACAGAAGAGUAGAAACAACUCAAUUGCUCAUCAGGAAGAGGCUGGUUAAAUAAAUUAUGGUAUAUCAAUCCUUAUAAGUGAAUA